CCUACGGGAGGCAGCAGUGGGGAAUAUUGGACAAUGGGCGAAAGCCUGAUCCAGCCAUGCCGCGUGUGUGAAGAAGGCCUUCGGGUUGUAAAGCACUUUCAGUGGGGAAGAAAGCCUUGGGGCUAAUACCCUCGAGGAAGGACAUCACCCACAGAAGAAGCACCGGCUAACUCCGUGCCAGCAGCCGCGGUAAUACGGAGGGUGCGAGCGUUAAUCGGAAUUACUGGGCGUAAAGCGCGCGUAGGCGGUCUGAUAAGCCGGUUGUGAAAGCCCCGGGCUCAACCUGGGAACGGCAUCCGGAACUGUCAGGCUAGAGUGCAGGAGAGGAAGGUAGAAUUCCCGGUGUAGCGGUGAAAUGCGUAGAGAUCGGGAGGAAUACCAGUGGCGAAGGCGGCCUUCUGGACUGAAACUGACGCUGAGGUGCGAAAGCGUGGGUAGCAAACAGGAUUAGAUACCCGUGUAGUC
rnacentral:rRNA from 1 species